CAUGCUAUCUCCUAAAGCAGUCAUUCUGAAACCCAAUCUGGGGACAGUGCAGACUAAAUAAAAUUUCAUUUUGAUUUGGCCUCCCGCUGAGAAUGGGACUGCUUUGUUUCAGCCGACAGAACCAGCAAGCCAGAAAGGUCUUGAAUUCACAAAUACUGACUUAAUGGAAAAUUAUAUUUGGAUUUGGCUUGCUUGAUGCUGGACGAUUAAUGAAGGAAGCCCUAACUGGACAAAUGUUGGUCUCCUGAGACAAUGUGUUGUUGAUAACAGAGAGCAAGCCUGUUAACUGUGAAUGUGAAGAGAUGAAGCCAGCGAAAAACAGACAGAAGUGUGAAGAGCUUUCCUGCCGUUAUUGUCUAGGACACUAUAGCAGCUUCUAGUUUUAGCAUCAAUGAGUGAAUAGCUGUUCCUUCUAGAGACACAUACCUUUGGACAAGCAGUUACAAAUAUCAGAGAGUAGACCAGAGGACACCACCACCAUGGACACCAAAGUGUUAGAUUGUUCUCAUGGGAAGCACUGGAUGAGAGGCAGUGGAUCAAAAAAGUGUUCAGCUGAAGCAGAGCAUCCAGGACCACAUCAGGGAUGAGAAGCAAAGCCAAACAUUACUCUUACAAAUAAAGAUUUCUAAACCAACCUAGGUUUUCUUUUCUAGUUGGAGCAGAGAGAUUUUAUCUUACAGUGGAACUUGAGUACCUCACAAAUAAAAUCAAGCAUGUGAAAAGCCUAUAAGAUUAGAUCCUAAUUCUGUAUUUCACCAAAGGAGAACUGAAGGAAAGAUAGAUGGAGUUAUUUGCUGUGGCAAGCAGAUCCCCUGUCCUGUUCAGAGGCUGCCAUUUCCUGCCUGUGAUGUGGAAGAAACAUAGCCAUUAUCAGGCACCUGCAAAAGCCCUCUGCCUGUUUUUGCUCAAAGUGACAGAGUCCGGAGGACGAUGUGCAUGUUCCCACUGGUCUGUAGGGAGUGUAAUGUAGCUGAUGCAAUUCCUGGCUCCAGCACACCUGCAAGGUCUCAUUGAUCUGCUGCUCAGUGCUCUGAAAACUCAGAAAUCUAUUAUCAGUGCGAGCAUGUGCUUAUUGAUCAGAUUACCUGCUUCUGCUCCCUAUGUGUACCUAAUUGUACCGGUGUACACGCACACACACACAUAAAUAUGUGCACACGUAUACAUAUAUACAGCCAUGCGCACAUGGGUUAUUGGGAUGUGUGUAUGUUAAAAGCUUUAACAUAUUUUUCUUGUUUUACAAAACCACACAUAAAUGAAAGGAGCGGACCUUCUCCGUGAAAUGUGAGUGCAGAAACACUCACAAGUGGCCAAGAGCUGCUAAAUAAUUAAUCAAUAGAGCAGUGUGGCAGUUUGAAAUGUAAAUGUGAUGGAUGAAGGUGUGAUGCUUGUCAUCACGCAGAAAAUGAUGUGACUGGAAUGGAUAACCCGCAGUACCUGCUGACUGGCAAAAGCUUGGACACAAAGAUAAAGUAAAGCCAUCAGAAAGCAGCCCCAGCAACCCCUAAUUCUUGCCUUUGACCCACAAUUCACUUUCAUGUCUCUGUCCCAGAAGAGAUGUUUAAAAAAAUGAUGAAGAGAGAUCUUGGAGUGGGAAAGGCGAGAGAAAGAAAAAACAUCUGAAGAAAUGCUACCUGACAAGGCUGCGGGCUACAUUCUUGAGAACACCUUUCUUUUCUUUAUGUUCUCCUUCUCCUGUUAAAUAAAAAUGCAGCUCCUUUUUUCCCUUUCCUUUCUUCCAAAACUCUCCUGAGCCAUUCCUGCAAGUGGUUCUGUGACUGGGGAGCUGACAACAGCCACAUGCAAAGGAACAAAGAACAAGAGUGACAAUUCAGAGUGCACACAGAAAUGCAAGCCUGAAAGUAGGUUUUAAAAGUUUGGAGGCUCUUUCUGCCAGGAAGAGAGAAUCCUACUUCUCAGUAAGUACCAUUUAGCAGGUUGUCUUUCUUUGCCUAUUUUGCUACCCCUCUCUUCAGAAAGUGAAAAAUACCACAGUUUAACAUGAGAAUUCCAAACUCCCCAAAAAAAUACAUUAGCAAAUAAUACCUACUAAAAGUGAAAGCUAAAUAUAUAUAUAUAAUAGUGUUUUCGCACAGAAAACAGAUGUUUUACCAUUUCCUAGACAUAAAAUAUACAUACAAAUAUUCUCUUCAAAUCUUUUGAGUUUUUUUCAAGACUUCUGUACACAUGUUUAAGUCUGAAGUGGUGUAAAGAAGCAGCAGAUCUCCAGGUGAACUGGCCAGUGUUUUCAUACUUCCUCAAUUUAUUAUUUUUAACUGUUUUUUCAUCGUUUUAUUUUUUAAUCUUUAUGUUACUGUUGUUCAAGAGGCAGUGAAAAAACACAUAAGUAUGCAAAAAUAAUUGUGCCAAAAUGAAUUUUAGAAAUCAAGAAUUAGCACCUACAGUAAUACAGAACACUACUUAGCCCAGCUCCACAGUAAAUAACCUACCUUCAGUCUGGGCGAGGUUUCUGGUGUAAUGCCAUUGAAGGGAAAUAUUUGCUAUAGCUUGAUUACCUGGAUAAAGUUUAAGCAGAGUCCCAACUCUCUAUAUAUAAUGGAAUCACCACACUCCACAGAAAUAUUUCCUAUAUAAAAUGGCAAAACUGUGGGCUUAUAAGUAAUUCAGCUUGAAUUUCUUUUCUGUGAUAUUUUGAGUUGUGUUUUCUGAUUUGUGCUUUGGGAACUUUCUUCAGCUCAUGCCAAAGCUACUCAGUUAUAUAUCUUUACCUACAUGGCAGCUACUUUCAUGUUAAUUUUUAGUUCUUUUGUACAGCUUCAGGAACACAAUAUCAUAAGUCAGUAGGAAUCAGACCCUAGAAUUUGGAGCAAUCUGUCUAAGCUAGUCUGUGGGUUGGAAGACUGAUCCUACACCUUGUAUCUGAUAUGUUUCUGGCAGAAGUUGUUCAUAAGUUUUGAAGCAGUAAAAAGGAAAUUGGUCUAAUGGUUCACAGAGAUUUAUGCUGAGUGUAAGCAACUGUUGAAUUGCACUAAUGUAGCAAUAUUCAUCACUACUAGGACUUCUGUUCCCCCAGAAAUGGCUAUAAAACUAGACAAGCACCAUCCCAGGACUACGUUUUCACUAAACUCAUAGAAGUCCACUUCUGUACCUUCAGUCUGUCUGAGCUACAGAAGGACUUGCAAUGGAAAGAUGACAAAUUCAGCUGCAAAAGUGCAACAGUCAUCCUCAGCCUUUGGAAAGGAGACUCGCCUACUAAGGCCGGAGAGAGCUGUGAUGCAUCCUGUCCUGUGCCCAGUCUGGAGAACCAGCUCACUAGUACUGUGGGACAUACCCCUACACGAGUCUUACACAGUGCUAUACAGCUACUGACGUGUAAUGUAGAAGUGCCUCCUAAACUGGGAGUAGGAGCAGUUGUUCACUACAUCGGUAUAUAGAUACACGAGCAACUGGCCACUAGUUUCUAAUAUCAUAGAAGUAUAGAGGUACCAACAUGGCUUUGCUUUCUUCCCCUUUUGAAUUUGCUGGGUACAUAAAGGAAAGGAACAUAAAAAAGAAAAAACUGCCCUGACAAAGGCAGAUCUGAGAAUCUGUGUCUUAACCAUAACAGUGGCCACCAGCAGCUGGCUACAGAAGAGAAGAAGAGGGCAGCCACAUAGCAGAGUGCCCCAGUUUAUUCUCCCAGCCUCCAGCAAUUGGCAGCUCAGGGGUUUCCUGAGCUGGAACAUUUGCCUACUUUACUGCAGUGAUGGUGGGUAAAAUAUGCAGUGACGACUCUCCCGUACCAGCAGGCUUUGUUUUACCCCAAGUGUUAUGCCAAACUAGUUGUAUAUCAUCAUGAAGAAUAACUGCAUUUCCUAGGAGCUGAUUUCCUAUGGCACAUUUUACUUAAAUACUUUCUCAACACCCUCGCAAAUAUGCCAUGGAUCUAAAGCACAAUCUCCUUUUCAAAAUGAAUGGGUCUGAUUACAGGCAUAUUCAUUUUGUAAAAGGUACAAAAGGAUACAAGUGUGCCUUUCCGUCUCAUAUAAGGUCAAAGUAAGACCCUCUUGCCCUUUUAUUUCAAUCCCUACAAUCUGAAAAUAAAAAAAAAAUGACUUGAUUAUAUGUUUUUUACCAUUAAGUGUAUAAUUGCUUUUGUGUUUUGACAUUUAAUUCCUCUUACCAAAAUACAUGGUGGGAAUUAAAAGUCAAAUCUUUUAUGUAUUUGAUGUACAGAUCCUUCCUUGUAUUUCAAUGAGAGAAAUAGAACGGUAAAACCUUAAAACAGGUACAGUGAAGCCAUCUGGAAAUGAAGUCUCUUUUUAUACUGGAAAUCUGACUGUGGCCCCAGUUCUGCCCUCCCUUAUCUAGGUCGAUGGCUUUUUGAAAUAGCUGGGAGGUCUGAAUGAGUCAAAACCAAGAAAACCUGCAGUACUUGACCUUUAAAAUAGAGCUGGGAUUAUGCUGCGCCUUGUCGGGCAGAUUUCAAGAUUAUGGUCCAGUCUGAAAAUUACUUUUGAAAGCCAUAAGGCGGGAGCUGGCCAGGCAGUCAAGUUUAUUGGCGUGGCACAGGAUGGCAGUAGUAAGGAACACAGGUCCCAGCAUGGGGGGCCAGAAGCAUCCAGGGCAUGAGCAGGAUGUCCCAGCUGGCCCAAGGCCAGCAGGAGGGUUUUGACAUUGAUAGAGAAGUCACACUCAGUAAACCAGCAGAUGAUGUGGAUGCAUGCAAGGGGAGCUGGAUGUUUCCUAUGGAUGUUUCAUAUUAGUUUUGUCUCUUCAUCUCAGUUUUCCCAUAAAGUUUUUCCUACUUCAGACACUGCCCUUCACUAAGGGCAGAAUCCCUCUUUCUCUUCUACCACAACUUCUCUGUUCCCUCUUGUAUUCUGCCAAAAGUAUUUUUCUCCUUUCCUCUAUUGCUUCCUUCCCCCUCCUUCUUAUAUUUUUCAUAUUUCUGCUUUUCUUCUCUUCUUCUGUUUCUUUUUCACUACCUGUACCCUUUAACUGAAUUAUCUUUCACUUCUUUCAUCUCUAGGGCAUGCCAAAUUCUACAUCUUCUUCUUAAUUUCUGUUCAUAUUCAUCCAGAAACUACAUGUUGAGAUUUCUUCUGACUGUAUUUUCUCUCACUGGUCACUCCACCACGACUUCUCUUCACCUAGUUAAGUCCAAAACUGACUUGACCCUACAGCCAUAGCUGGGAUUACAUAGUGUCUUGAGAUUCAGAUUUAUGGAAUCUAGAGCUUUCUGCAACAGUUUUAUGCAGUCUGGGGAGUAGAUGCUAGCUGGGGUCUCAGAUGGACCAAGUUUGGGACAGACUGAGUCAGGAAUGCUAGCAGUAGGCUGAGCUCAGCACUGUUCUUCCAAGUGUUAAUAUUCUCACCCACAAAUUCUGUCAUGUCUUCAAUAUACCCAUUAGCAAAAAGUACUGUAGGUGACUAUGUUCUUGGAGAAAGAUUUUCCCAAAGCAGAGGCCACAUUCCUUUCUUUCAUUCAUCUCAGGAAAGAUACCUUAAACAAAGGUAAAGGGCAAUACGUAAGGUAGCCAAAAAAGAAGUAAAGGGAGCAGGAAAAAGUGGCAUCAGGAAGAAGUAAGUCAGAGAAAGAGAGAGACAGCUGAGUGUAUCUCCCCAUAAUAGCAGUAGUGUCACCAUAUCUCAUGGAGACACACUUAGCUUCCCAUAGUGAAAGCAGCUUGCAUUGCAUGGGUGCCAAGUGCACAGAUGCCAGAAGUUGUCUCCCUUUGGCCAUCAACUUGUUUGCACUUUGCAGGGGGAAUAAGACAACUUGGGGCUGCUCCAGUCCAGUCAUGUCUUUCAAGGGCCUUCUUUCCCAGCAUCCCUGCUGCAUCCUGCUGCUGAUAGGAUUGUGUGUGAAGCAUUUUCCAGGCAUGUGGUAAGGGUGUGUUUACGCACACACACACAUACAAUCACACACACAUUCAUCAUUCAUACAAACACAUGCACAUGCGUAGUUUUUCCCACCAUUUUUUGCACAUGCAAAAGUUGCAGAUUGAAAAUUAAAAGGGAAAGGAAAGCCGACAAUGACUAAAUCACAAAAUUGACCCCAGCCCGUACUCUCAGGAGGGGUAGAAGACAGGACUUACAACAAGGAAAUGGAGCUCAUGCCAUUUUUGCUAAAUGAGUAAAUGCAGGUAAGAAAAGUAGUAGAUUUAUACUGCUCAUGGCAGGGGGGUUGGAACUAGAUGAUCUUUGAGGUACCCUCCAACCCUAACUGUACUAUGAUACUAUACCAGUAUGGUCCAAUCUUUGAUGAAGUCUGGUGAUUAAAGCUUAAGAUCAGGUACCCAGAAUAUCUUGAGUUUGUUCUCACAAGUAGCUAUUUUACCUACAACGUCAGUGUCAUUUGAAAAAUCUGUAUCUUUGGAAAUCUGUAUCUUUGCUCAAGGGCUCUGCUUCGCAGUUUCAGGAUAGUAAUCAGUUCAAGGAGAUGCUUCAAAGUUAAAUGUUUUUUGUUAAAUAAUCAUGCAAUCCUGGAAUAGGGAGGUGGGAGGUAGGUGCAAAUUAGUGCUUUCUUCCAGCUUAGGGUGACCAAAGUCUUCAACAGGUCAUCUUCAAUGUCACAGUUCUUCAGAACAAUUGUGCGUACAGAUAGGAAUAUUAACUAAUGCUACUCAUAGGGUACUAUCUGUUCACACCAGUUACAGAAUGGCUUUGAGGCCAUUCUUGCUGUCAUUUAAAAUAUUUUUUAUGGUAGUAAUGUCAAACAACUACAGGAUUUACUGCUGCUUAGCCUAAAAGAGAGUUGUUUCUCAAAAUGAGAAGGGGGAGAUGUUUUCACUCAUCUGGAAGCUUUAUGGGGCAGUUUUCAUCCAUGGUCCAGAAGUAAAUGCCAGCUCCCUUGAAAUUUUGGAACUCAAUAUGCGUUCAGCCCCGGGAAUCAGGUGAUGAACCAGAACUUCAAACUCUCAGAAACCAAAGUCUUUAUGCUUCUGAGAGGUUGGGUUUGAUUUUUUUUAUUUUUUUUCCAUUUUUUUGCCUUUUUCUUUAAUUUUGAUGGAUGAUGUUUUGUUCUGCAGUGAGUUUUAAUGCGUGUCGUUGUGGAACAAUUUCAAUUGUCAAAAACAACAACAACAAAAAGCAAUAUUUCAAUAUUUCUCAAGCAAAGGCUUCAAAGGUUUCAGAUCUUUUUAAAAUGUUUCUGCUUUAUUUUGACGUGGCAUAAAAGUUUUGUAUGCAUUCUCGCAUCCGCUAUUGUGACAGCUGUAUUUAAUGAGUGCAAAAUGAUCAGAAAAACAUCCUUUACUGUGGGUUGCCAUUACCAGCAGGUGACAGGAGAGAGGCAGUACUGUAAUAACAGGAGCGACGAAGUAGUUCACAUUCCUCCUGAUGGGUUAUUUCUAACUCAAAUGCCUAGGAAUGCCUUUUGAAAAUAAUGCAUCAGUCACAUUACCUGAUAGUUUCAUCAGAUUUUGUUUCCAAGUGUGUUUUGAAAUAAAAUUGUGCAUCCUUAGCCUCAGGUCAUGAAGUGGUUGGUUGUGACACAUUAUUUGUGGAUAACACAGAAGAAAAGGUCCUAGUCUGGCCUAUAAACACCAGUCUUUCCAUCAAAAUGAUGCUGAGCGUUAAACGGAGGUCCAUAGAUAUGCUAGAAAUGAAACAUUACACAAUACAUUUGUGUAAUAUUUUGUAUUUUAUAUGCAUAUUUAAUAUCAGAGCAUUUUAGUCCAAACUGGAGACGGUAUAAAAAUAAAUCUAAAUGGAUUUGAAAGGCAGGAUAUUUCUUUUUUCGAAGCUUUGUCAUUCCUGACUUCCUCUGGUGACUGUUAGCUUAUCAUGCCUUUGUACAGGAGAUCUAAGUAUUUCAUUCUCUCUUGUGUCUCCAUACGGUACCAUUUCCCAGAUAGUCUUCCUUUGGUCACAAGAUGACAGUGAACAUAGAUUGUCAGACUGGACCACUAUAACAAUUUACUCUAGGGGAGAAAAUCCUGUGGGUGUUCAGAAGCUUUAUCUAAGUUAUGUUUGAUUAACUUAUCCUACUACUGAAAAAUAAUUAGGUCAGCAAUUAAUUUCAAAAUGCAAAUAUGCUACAGGCCUUCACAGUUUAAGAAAUUCCCUUUGUCUUUAGUUUUUACUUGUGUUACAGUCUUAAUGAAUUUAGCUGGGUGAAGGAAUAAAAUUAUGUUUUCUAAUGCUUUAUUUACUAGGUUGAGUUGGACAUUUUUAGCAAAUAUUGACUGCAAAUGUUUGUUCUUAAAUGAUCAUGUGUGAUGGAAUUUAAUGGCAUAAGAAAACAACAAACUAAUGAUUUCAGACAUUCAAAAUAUAUAUAUUUUCACACUUAUGCUGCAAAAUAUUUAUCUACCUUCAUGGAUUAGGAACAGAAAUACAAACCAGAGGGUCAGGAGCAGACCACAGUAGCAAAGCCACCAAUACUUGCUUAAGCAAUCUAAGAAACUAGGGUAUAUCAGAAAGAAAACAUGUUUAAUAUUAGUACAAGUGUGUCUCAAAGAAACCUAUCUACCAGUCUAUCUCAGAGACUUUAUUAUUAAACAAGACAGAUUAAAAGCUCAGCCCUUCCCAAGAGAAGCUCAGGGGAGUUUUCUGUUGACUUUAAGGGAGUGAGUCUCCUAAGUCUAAGUCUUCUGUGAUUAAAAUCAUGCAAUUUUUUAGAAAAUAUUCAAACUAGACAGCUGUAAACAAACCCAACCAGCUAGCCUGAUAUAAAAUCAGAAUAAAUUUAUGCAGCUGAUAUACUUAUGGUAGAAUUCCCUAACAGUUUAUUUGCUUAAUUGAAGUCAAGAAGAAGAGCAUCCACUCUACAAUUGGGAGAGGGUUUUUUACAAAAUUUUUACUGAACUUGAGUUGAAGUUUUAAACAAAACAUGACAAUCCAUAUUUUUUUAUGCCUAAUAUGCAAGCUGUUUUGUAUGAAAUAACAAUAAUAAAAAUGAAAAUUCAAGAUCUUUUUGGUGCAUUUUUGCCUAAAUUACUAAAUUACUAAAUAAUUAAAUUAGGGAAAGAAAUCCAGAAAAACAAGAUAAAACUAAACAUUGCGGGUUUGGGGUGAGUUUCAUUUUGGAAAGAAAACCGAAAGGAUAACUGCAUGGGGUCAAAAUUACCUCUCACUUACAAAGACAAAGCUUGGUUUCUAAUCUCUUCCAACAGAUUAUACUCAGGACCAUCUUUCCAUCUUAAGCAGCAUAUUAAAAACUUUGAAGAUUUCACCGGGUAGAGUGGGCAACACAAUGCUGAAGCUUCAUUCUGAAUGAAGGAGAAUCUCUUUCUUUCUCUCCAGAGUCAUGGAAGAGGAAAUCAGAAACGUCAAUUGAUACAAAAAGGCUAAGCUGUUGGGAGCUGUGCAAACAGAAUUUUUCUUGUAAGAAGUUUUCUUGUAAGAUAUAGGCUUAGCUGAGCACUGGGCAAGGAUCCAGUUAAAGCAGCACAGUUCAAGAAAGACACAGCUGUCUUAAAUGCUGUCCGAAGGAGAGGACUAGGAUUGAUCAGAAGGUUGGGAAAUGUGACCGGCAAGAAAACCUGAACCAGGGUGAUUUUAUCUUGAGAAGAGAACGAGCAGACAUAAAGACUACAUUUGAAAAAGUCUUCUGCAAGGAGGCAGGGGAGAGUUUGCUUUUCAGGUCUACAGCAAAAUGAUGGAAGGUAACAGCCCUACAUUGAAACAAGGGAGAUUCGGGUCAGAUGUUGGCAAAACCUUUCUGAGAGUGAAGACAUUGAAGCAGUGGAAGGGAUUAUUUGUGGCAAGUCUGGAGUCCUCCUCACUGAUGAACUUUCAGAAUAGGCUGAGCAAACUACUUUCAAGAUAAUGUAGUACAGUUUCUGGCUGAAACCAAUGCCUUAACAGUUAUUACAUUGAUAUUUUUAAUUGCCUUUAAGAAACUGAUGGCACUCUUAUGGUGGAAUAAAGCAAACUUCUAAAUUAAUCUAGAGCAAGAAACCUAACAUGAAUGCUUAACUGAGCUUCCAUUAUGAGGGAGAGAGCAAUUAAGGAUGAAGUUGAUCUGCAGAAGCAAGAUGGAUAGAUUGGUCUGUAUGUCCCAAGGUGAGAUCAUUAAAAUUUAAAUAAAUAAUGAUAAUUGAGAAGAGAUUUCGGUGAUUAGCAAACUGGAAUUAAAUUCUAUAAAAUAAAGGAAUUCCAUAUGCCAGAACUUUAUCAUGGAAGUUGAGGUUUAUUCAGCAGCUUUUAGCAUCAGAGUCAUUAUCACUGACCAAACGGAGAAGUGUGAGGAAAACUAAUCUCAGAUUCUGGAUCAGUGUUGGAAUAAUGGCAAUUUGGCAAAGAUACACAGAAUGCAAUUGAAAUAAUAUAAGUUUAAGUGGGAAUGAUUAUUUCUUUAAGGUAGUAUAUUGACAAAAAAAAAUAUCACAUCGAUAGAGCACUUCACUCAAAUUUUUUUGGAAGACUAAUAAAUGUCUCCGAGGUCAUAUUGUUUAAAAAAUCUUUCAAAUCUAAGUGAUCUCUGGAGUCAUCUGCAGAAGUGUUGAAGUACAUACCAAGCCACAAGUAAUUUUAUAAUAUUGUCAUACUCUAAAAUUAGUGCAUUUCAACAUAAUUAAUGCAUUUGUAUCUUUUUACAUUGAAGCAAUUGUAAAUAUUCUAGCUGUUUUGCAAAAGCUUGCUAAUGGCUUCCCUUUCCUUGGAUACUCCUGUGUUAUCGUUCGUUCUUUGUCUCAAAAAGGGAGUGACACAUCCCUCCUCACCAGUUUGUCUUUCUCUCUUUCUGUCAUCCUUGGAAAUGGAGGGAUUUUCCUCUUCCUGCAAAACGGUGAUUAAAGAUUGUCUUAUGGAAUGAGAGGGGCACUUCCCUUGGGCUUUCCAAGCAAUGGCAGAGGCCUGGUAACAGCUGGUUGGUUUGUGCCUGGACUGAAACAGGAGAAGGUUGGUGAAGCAAACUGGCACAGUGCAAGAACGUGCAACAGAUGGUGGUUGGUGACUCUCCAGGAGGGUGCUCUAAAGAUGUGGCUGUUUCUGUUGACCCCAACACAAGGUACCUUCUCUUGGGAGGCUUGAGGGUGAGGUGGUGUCCCCCAGAGUGGGACAAAGGGUAUGAUCAGAGCACCUUUAAAGCACUUUUCUUCAUGAAGACAAGGCAAGACUGAAAAAACAAGGAAGUGUGACCUAGUGAAGAAGCAUACUCUCACAACGUGGCACUUCACUGGCAACUGUGGCUGUCAGCAAAACACCCCUUGUUCUGACUGUCAAUAUCCAAGUGAAGAUAAGCUUACAAAAAGGUUAGUACACAUCCUGACUUGAUUUUUUUUUUUGAAUCAUUUUUGGCCCAAUUCCUUCCUCUUGGCUCUUCCUAGAACAACAAAAGGCCAGAGGCAGGUGUUGAGAUGGCACUGUUUUUUCUCAUUUAAUCUGUGAGGCACCAUGAAAAACAGUCAAUGAUCAUAGAGUAUGCUCUAAGCAUAAGUGACUGAAGUACUAACAUGUGAAUUUAGUAAAGUUAGAGUCUGUGGAGUGGAGAUAAAUUACAGCAGCAAUUGAAGUUGAAUGUGAUAUAGAAAUUCAACCAACAGAAGACUGUCUGGAAACAAUUAUUCAGAAAGUGGCUGACCCUCUAUUUCUUUAAAGAGUUAAACAUUUGGAUUGGUUAACUGGCAGCUGCAAUAAUAGGCAUAUGCUCUAAUCUUUGAUCCGUAGCUGUAUUUGCAACUCUCUGUAUGAGAAGAAGAUCACAUAGAUUUGCAUAUUUUUAAGGAUCUAUGGGGAGAAAAAGAAGAACAAAAACUACUCUUCCAAGAUGCCACUUUGAGAUCACACAGGGUGUCAUGGGCCCCCUCAAGUAUGCUAAUGUUCAGAGCCAGUUGCAAAACUCACAGAUUUUAUAAAUGGCCUUAAACUGUGACAUUCGCAUCUGAAGUUUAUUGAAAAAUCCUUCUAGAACAGAGAUUUGUAAACCAAGAUUGCAUCGUAACUCUUCACGGAGAUGUGUAUGGAUGUGAUUAAGAUCUCAUUUCCACACCCAGAUUUGUGUUAGAACUUUCCUAAAAUCUGAAAGCAUGCAGAGUUAAUAAAUAAAUUAGAAAAUGUUCUGAGACCAAAUGAGAAGCUGUUGUCCAGACUGAAAUGCAUAAAGAUAUCUGCCAAGGCCUUGACUUCACCUUAGUUUUGGCAAAAUUUUCCAGUGUUAAUGAAAAUUUUGCAGGCACAAGACAACCAUGAAUCACUCCACUGGUAGAAUGGAUACUAACCAAACAUACUUUGUCUGUGUUGAAGGUUCAUUUCUUCCACACCUCUUUUUCAACUCCAACAGAAAGAUAUUUACUAAUCACUCAUUUUGCACCACCAGUUGUGUCUACACCACAGGAGAUUUCCACCACUUGGUAUUAUUCCCCUAGAAAGCAUCUCUUUCUGACAGAAGUGAGCAAUAUAUUAAGUACUGUGAAGUGAAGAGGUAAUCAUCCCUGUAAAUGUUCUCAAUUGAGGGAUAUUUCAACGUAGUCCUCACCCGAUUUGAAAGGAAGUUCUGUCACUUUACAAUAAUCUUUCUCUCCUGUUCACCUAACACAACACUGAUAUCCACAAUGAUGUGAUGACACUUGUUAUUUGUUAUUUGCCUAUGGAUACUUCCUGUACUUCCCAAACAAAAAAUAUGGAUUACUACAUAAAACUAUGCAGAUAUGCAAAGAAGGCAGUGCAAAGAAGGCACUCUCCAAAAAAUAUUCUGUCUAGCUUUCUUACAGUUCCAUGCAGUAAGUCAUAUGGAGACAUCAAUAGUGGAGAAGGUAGACUACAAGCCUGAUUGACACAGGAGGAAGUACUUCUAGCUACUAUGUUCCUUGUCCUGUGAGCAGGCAAGAUUUUGUAAAAUCCUGGCAAAAAUCCCAUGAAGAGGAGGGGAAGGUGGUGCACAUUCGUGGAUAAAGUGUAGUAAGAAAAUGAGGUGAUGCAAUGAUAUUCAGAAAGCUUCUUUUGAGAGUGAUCAGAACAUCAACAGGUGAACCAGAACCCAAGUUAGCAACAAUAGCUUCAGUAUCUUACAGACUGAGGGAGGCAAUGGGGAAAGAGAAUAGUAUACAGCUUUUAAUGAGUAAAUUUAAUUGGCAAUCCAAAGUUUUUGAGAAGGGAACAACCUGUGUCCUGACAGUGCACACACUCCACAAGUUAAGCAGACCCUAAGGUAAUCCAAAACUCAAGGCAAAAGUAUUAGUGAUAAGAAAUCUUCUUCUGUCGCCAGCAGGGCCAUGUAAUCAGCUUUUCAAACCCUGGAAGCAUGAUGGAAUUAAGGGGCCAAGACUCUCCUUGCUUCUUUGUGAGGAUGCUAUUUUGCUUUUGUUAACACAAACAGAUAUUUUUAUUUCUGUGUUUUGUAUACCUUCGGCUGUCCCUUCCUGAAGGACUCUGAAAGAUUUCUGAUCUCUAAGAAACUUAUUUUUUAGGGGAUUCUGUAAUCUUCUUGUUUUGUGAGAAGGCAGGGUGCAAAAAAUGGAGAUACAGAAAUUGCCUUAAGUGCUGUAUAAUAAUUGACUUCAAUUACUUCACUUAGUUAUUGCUGACCAUUUUUUAUAAAUAUCUACACAUUAUAUUUGUUCUGGCCACUGAGAUAAUAGUUUCAGAUCUAUUUGAAAAUGUAUAGUGAUAUAUUGUGUCAAUGUAAUAUGACUGUACAAAAUGGAUUAUAUCAGUUAGAAGAAAUAUCUUAAAACCUGCCUCUCUACAGUCUAUUCUCUGUAUCUUAGCUCUUUACUGCACCACAAGGCCACUGGCUGAGCUUUUGCUCAUGCACUGUUGAGUGGAUCCCUGACAUAUCACUGCAUUCAGUCAAAAUAUUGAAAAAUAAAAUGAGAACACCUAUAGGUGAUGAAAAUAAGAGCAAGAAAGUAGCAUUUCUCUACAUCAUGUAAAGCAGAAAAUCUGAAAAUCAUUUUGGUGAAAACAGAUUAGAAGUGAGAUGUUUGGGAGGCAUUGUUACUGUUGUAGACUACAGUAAAGGAAAAAAAAACUUAUAUCAAAUCAGACUAACACUGAAUUAGCUUAAUUUUAAAAUGGCAAUGAACCAGGUCAGUAACAACGAGAUAAUCCCACCUUACUGGUUUGGUCUAAGGUAACUGCCUACACUCCUGUAGUGAAGAGAGAGAAAAAGAGACUCCAGCAGGAAAAGGUACCUAUUUUUCUAUGGCUAUCUGUGUUGCCAUCCUAAAAUGGUCUCAUGAAAUCUUUGA